rnacentral:rRNA from 1 species
UCGAGCGAACAGAUAAGGAGCUUGCUCCUUUGACGUUAGCGGCGGACGGGUGAGUAACACGUGGGUAACCUACCUAUAAGACUGGGAUAACUUCGGGAAACCGGAGCUAAUACCGGAUAACAUUUGGAACCGCAUGGUUCUAAAGUGAAAGAUGGUUUUGCUAUCACUUAUAGAUGGACCCGCGCCGUAUUAGCUAGUUGGUAAGGUAACGGCUUACCAAGGCGACGAUACGUAGCCGACCUGAGAGGGUGAUCGGCCACACUGGAACUGAGACACGGUCCAGACUCCUACGGGAGGCAGCAGUAGGGAAUCUUCCGCAAUGGGCGAAAGCCUGACGGAGCAACGCCGCGUGAGUGAUGAAGGGUUUCGGCUCGUAAAACUCUGUUAUUAGGGAAGAACAAACGUGUAAGUAACUGUGCACGUCUUGACGGUACCUAAUCAGAAAGCCACGGCUAACUACGUGCCAGCAGCCGCGGUAAUACGUAGGUGGCAAGCGUUAUCCGGAAUUAUUGGGCGUAAAGCGCGCGUAGGCGGUUUCUUAAGUCUGAUGUGAAAGCCCACGGCUCAACCGUGGAGGGUCAUUGGAAACUGGGAAACUUGACUGGGAAACUUGAGAGCAGAAGUGGAAAGUGGAAUUCCAUGUGUAGCGGUGAAAUGCGCAGAGAUAUGGAGGAACACCAGUGGCGAAGGCGACUUUCUGGUCUGUAACUGACGCUGAUGUGCGAAAGCGUGGGGAUCAAACAGGAUUAGAUACCCUGGUAGUCCACGCCGUAAACGAUGAGUGCUAAGUGUUAGGGGGUUUCCGCCCCUUAGUGCUGCAGCUAACGCAUUAAGCACUCCGCCUGGGGAGUACGACCGCAAGGUUGAAACUCAAAGGAAUUGACGGGGACCCGCACAAGCGGUGGAGCAUGUGGUUUAAUUCGAAGCAACGCGAAGAACCUUACCAAAUCUUGACAUCCUUUGAAAACUCUAGAGAUAGAGCCUUCCCCUUCGGGGGACAAAGUGACAGGUGGUGCAUGGUUGUCGUCAGCUCGUGUCGUGAGAUGUUGGGUUAAGUCCCGCAACGAGCGCAACCCUUAAGCUUAGUUGCCAUCAUUAAGUUGGGCACUCUAGGUUGACUGCCGGUGACAAACCGGAGGAAGGUGGGGAUGACGUCAAAUCAUCAUGCCCCUUAUGAUUUGGGCUACACACGUGCUACAAUGGACAAUACAAAGGGCAGCUAAACCGCGAGGUCAUGCAAAUCCCAUAAAGUUGUUCUCAGUUCGGAUUGUAGUCUGCAACUCGACUACAUGAAGCUGGAAUCGCUAGUAAUCGUAGAUCAGCAUGCUACGGUGAAUACGUUCCCGGGUCUUGUACACACCGCCCGUCACACCACGAGAGUUUGUAACACCCGAAGCCGGUGGAGUAACCAUUUAUGGAGCUAGCCGUCGAAGGUGGG